GCCCCACUAGUCUAGUGGUAGCGACGCCAGGUUCUCACCCUGGAAGCGAGAGUUCGAUCCUCUCGUGGGGCGC
rnacentral:tRNA from 1 species